GAUGAAGAACGUAGCGAAAUGCGAUAAGUAAUGUGAAUUGCAGAAUUCAGUGAAUCAUCGAAUCUUUGAACGCACAUUGCGCCCGCCAGUAUUCUGGCGGGCAUGCCUGUUCGAGCGUCAUUUCAACCCUCAGGUCCCCCUUUUCGGAGGGGGAGACACCCUGGUGUUGGGGGACGGCAUCCUGGCCCGCUGUCUCACAGUGUGCCACGCCGCCCCCGAAAUGAAUUGGCGGCCUCGUCGCGUGCCACCCCUGCGUAGUAGCACAACCUCGCAACGGGAGCCCGACGCGGCCACUGCCGUAAAACGCCCAACUUUUACCGAGUUGACCUCGAAUCAGGUAGGAAUACCCGCUGAAUUUAAGCAUAUCAUAAGCGGAGGA
rnacentral:misc_RNA from 1 species